GACGAACGCUGGCGGCGUGCCUACUACAUGCAAGUCGAACGCAGUGGGGACGGGUGAGUACCAAGUGGGUAACCUCCCAUCAGAGGGGAUAACACUUGGAAACAGGUGCUAAACCGAUCCUGAUGGAUGAGCACGCGGUGCAUUAGCUAGUUGGGGAGGUAACGGUUCCCCAAGGCCACGAUGCAUAGCGGACCGGCGACGGUGUUCGGCAACCGUGGGACGGAGACAGGGCCCAGACGCCUACGCGAGGCAGCAGUAGGGAAUCUUCGGCAAUGGACGAAAGUCUGACCGAGCAACGCCGCGUGAGUGAAGAAGGUUUGCGGAUCGUAAAACUCUGUUGUUAGAGAAGCUGUAUCUAACCAGAAAGCCACGGCUAACUACGUGCCAGCAGCCGCGGUAAUUC
rnacentral:rRNA from 1 species